rnacentral:lncRNA from 1 species
CUUAAAGAUGCUCCACGGACCACUGAUGACUCUCUGAGUAUAUAGGCAUUGGAAUGUGGGCUGUGAGUGUAGUUCAGUAGUGGAAUCCAUGCUUAGCUUGCUGAAUCUUAGCUUGGGUUUAAUCUCCAGGGUUCCUAAAUCAGGGAAUAAAGAAAGACCAAACCAGCUUUAUAACCACCAAGCUAAAAACUAGCAGGGUUUAGAUGUACAGAAUCUAAUUAUGAAAAUGUUGUUUUCAUGAGUUACCAGAAGAUGCACCUAGAAGAUGGAAGGAUGAAGAUAGGAGAGGGGACCGAUCUCAGGAAUACUUGGGAAAGAGCAUUUUGAAGUAAGGUAUAUUCACAGCUUCAGGAAGACUGAAACAGAAGAGUUUUAAACCAAGGACACCAAAGUUCCAGUAUGGAGUUCUAGAGGUCUAACUCGGGUCACACCAAGUACUCACUCUACCCCCAGCUACUACCUGCUCUUCACCAGCCUCCUCUCAUGGCUUGAAACCCACGAUGUGAGGCAUGGAUAACCAUGGGAUCUUUAAUGUGAGGCCUCUUCAAUUCUGCAACAGCCCAAUCUUCACAGAAGAGCAGAGCCAUGGUGACCUAUGAGACAAGAAAAGCAGGACCGGGGCUGGGGAGACUGCCCCGCAGUUAAGAGCACUGGCUGCUCCUCCAAGAGGAGCAGGGUUCCAUUCCCAGCACAGGUGGCUUCCAGGAGUUAAGUUAACCAUCUUAACUCCAGUUCCAGGGCGUCCAAUGUCUUUCUGUGGCCUCCACAGCACCAGACAUGCUCAUGGUAGACAGACACAGACAAAACGCCCAUAAGAAUACAACACAAAUACAUUUUUAAAAAGAA